rnacentral:lncRNA from 1 species
UCUGCUGGUAUCUACACAGAGCUACCUGAUUGGAGCAUCGAGAUCAUCAAUAUGCUAGCAUCUUGCAGAUCUCGCUUCUCAUCCUUGGAUCUAGAUCUCUUCUUCUAGAUCUUGAAGAAAGAGAUCGCUGCGCGAACUCUUUGAUACAGAUCCGAUGGGAUCUGAACUAGAUCACCAUGAAGAGAAGAAGAACCCUUCUUCUUCUCUCUCUUUUCUCUUCUUAGAUAUAAUCUCUAUCAGAUCUGGGCAUUGGGA